rnacentral:sRNA from 1 species
CCGGUUUCAGAGGUGGAUUGGGCUCUAGCAUGCUGGCCCUGUGGCUUGGCGACUGUCGCAGUCUCCCCGAGCGGCACUCUCCCCCCUGGUCCAGAGGGCAUCCUGGCCGUUUCACCCGGGGACUUGAACUUGCCAUUGGACUGAGCUCUUUCUCAGAAGCUGCUACAAGAUGACACCUCAUGUCCUUGCCCUCUUCGUGUGCUUUUCCAAGCCUUCCUAUUCCACUCAGGGCUGUGGGGUGGUGGUUGCCCUACCUGUUUUUGCCAAAAAUAAAUUGUUUAAAACUUUUCAUAUUAAAAACGUUACAAAGU